UGGUGGAGUGAGGCGUGUGGUACAGUGCGCUCCCGUUCGACUUCAAUAUUACCAUUUGUUUCUACGCGCAAACAACGUAUACGAGAUGGCAGAGAAGUGCUUGGUCUCGCAGUGCUGCUGCGGUUGUUCGCUGCGCUCGGGAGCCUUGGGAACUGGCAUCUUCUGUUUGGUGACAGGCCUCCUUGCCCUACUCUCCGCCAUCUAUGGGUUGAUCACUACAA